UUGAACGCUGGCGGCGGGCCUAACACAUGCAAGUCGAGCGGGGGUAGCAAUACCCUAGCGGCGAACGGGUGAGGAAUACUUGGGAAUCUGCCUCGUAGUGGGGGAUAACGUUCCGAAAGGAACGCUAAUACCGCAUACGUCCUACGGGAGAAAGGGGGGGAUCUUCGGACCUCUCGCUAUGAGAUGAGCCCAAGUCGGAUUAGCUAGUUGGUGGGGUAAUGGCCCACCAAGGCUACGAUCCGUAGCUGGUCUGAGAGGAUGAUCAGCCACACUGGAACUGGGACACGGUCCAGACUCCUACGGGAGGCAGCAGUGGGGAAUAUUGGACAAUGGGGGAAACCCUGAUCCAGCCAUGCCGCGUGUGUGAAGAAGGCCUUAGGGUUGUAAAGCACUUUAAGCGAGGAGGAAGGGCUUCGGGUUAAUACCCGGUGUGGAUGACGGUACCGUAAGAAGAAGCACCGGCUAACUACGU
rnacentral:rRNA from 1 species